UACGUAGGGGGCAAGCGUUGUCCGGAUUUAUUGGGCGUAAAGAGCGUGUAGGCGGUUUGGUAGGUCCGCUGUGAAAACUCGAGGCUCAACCUCGAGACGCCGGUGGAAACCAUCAGACUAGAGUCCGGAAGAGGAGAGUGGAAUUCCUGGUGUAGCGGUGAAAUGCGCAGAUAUCAGGAAGAACACCCGUGGCUAAGGCGGCUCUCCAGUACGGUACUGACGCUGAGACGCGAAAGCGUGGGGAGCGAACCGG
rnacentral:rRNA from 1 species